GAGCAGCUUUCACACACAGAGCAUCACAUCCAUUUCCUCCAGGUAACAGAGAUCUGACAAACAGGUGGUCUUCAGGAAGAGUUUCCAGUCUAUCUCGGUUACUCAUGGAUCUACAGACUCGCCCAACAUAACUGUCCGUUCUCGUCUCUCUUUUGAUGAUGUUGGUGAAUCUGUCGCACAUCUGAGAGAGAAACUGGAACAUUUCUGCAGAGAGGAGAUAGAAAAGAUUCAUGAUAAAGCAAAAUAUAUUGAGAUCAUUCCCACCCCUGAAUACAAGACAAGGAACGAGUUUCUACAGUAUUUUUUCC
rnacentral:lncRNA from 1 species